rnacentral:rRNA from 1 species
AACCUCCGCAAUGUGAGAAAUCGCGACGGGGGGAUCCCAAGUGCCAUUCUUAACGGGAUGGCUUUUCAUUAGUGUAAAGAGCUUUUGGAAUAAGAGCUGGGCAAGACCGGUGCCAGCCGCCGCGGUAACACCGGCAGCUCUAGUGGUAACAAUUUUUAUUGGGCCUAAAGCGUCCGUAGCCGGUUUAAUAAGUCUCUGGUGAAAUCCUGUAGCUUAACUGUGGGAAUUGCUGAAGAUACUAUUAGACUUGAGACCGGGAGAGGUUAGAGGUACUCCCAGGGUAGAGGUGAAAUUCUGUAAUCCUGGGAGGACCGCCUGUUGCGAAGGCGUCUAACUGGAACGGUUCUGACGGUGAGGGACGAAAGUUAGGGGCGCGAACCGGAUUAGAUACCCGGGUAGUCCUAACUGUAAACGAUGCGGACUUGGUGUUGGGGUGGCUUUGAGCUGCUCCAGUGCCGAAGGGAAGCUGUUAAGUCCGCCGCCUGGGAAGUACGGUCGCAAGACUGAAACUUAAAGGAAUU